ACAAGAACUUCCCACGCUGGAGGAAUGGCAGAUGAAACUUAUGGACUAUAUGGAAUUGGCGGAAAUGACUGGCAGAAUCCGUGACCAGGGAGAAGAGUCGAUGGAGGAAGACUGGAAGAAAUUCAAAGACUAUCUUCAGAAACACUGCAAAAUUAAGGAAUGUUAGAGUGAUGUUGGAUUGAAAAUAAGUGGUUUCCAGCUGUACAGGUUAAAGUUAAGGAUAGAUUAAGAUUAAAGAUCAAGAUUAAAGAUGUUUAAAGAAAUGGAAAUUUGAUAAUAAAAGGGAAAAAUUUAAAGGUAUAUGACAUUAAGAACAAGGAUUAUGUUUAAAAAAGUUGAAGUUAUAUAUUUUAAUAUUUUAUUAAAUUAAAGAUUGGGUUUAAAAAAGUGGAAAAGAAACUGCUGGACAAAUAAUGCAGAUUGGAAUACAAAAGAGGGAGGUAUGAGGAAGUCCAGAAAAUAAGUAAUUUAAAAUUGGGAAUGGAAAAGAGAGUUUGUUUUUAAUUGUUAUGUUUUGUGUUUUUAUUGUUAAAUUUUGUAUUGUUUUUUUCUGUGUGUGUUGUUUUUCUUUUUUCUUUGUUUAAAACCUU
rnacentral:lncRNA from 1 species